rnacentral:rRNA from 1 species
AGAUACCCGGGUAGUCCACACCGUAAACGAUGAAUGCCAGUCGUCGGGUAGCAUGCUAUUCGGUGACACACCUAACGGAUUAAGCAUUCCGCCUGGGGAGUACGGUCGCAAGAUCAAAACUCAAAGGAAUUGACGGGGGCCCGCACAAGCGGUGGAGCAUGUGGUUUAAUUCGAAGCAACGCGCAGAACCUUACCAACCCUUGACAUCCUAGGACCGCCAGAGAGAUUUGGUUUUCUCGUAAGAGACCUAGUGACAGGUGCUGCAUGGCCGCCGUCA